rnacentral:rRNA from 1 species
AGAGUUUGAUCAUGGCUCAGAUUGAACGCUGGCGGCAGGCCUAACACAUGCAAGUCGAGCGGUAGCACAGAGAGCUUGCUCUCGGGUGACGAGCGGCGGACGGGUGAGUAAUGUCUGGGAAACUGCCUGAUGGAGGGGGAUAACUACUGGAAACGGUAGCUAAUACCGCAUAAUGUCGCAAGACCAAAGUGGGGGACCUUCGGGCCUCAUGCCAUCAGAUGUGCCCAGAUGGGAUUAGCUAGUAGGUGGGGUAACGGCUCACCUAGGCGACGAUCCCUAGCUGGUCUGAGAGGAUGACCAGCCACACUGGAACUGAGACACGGUCCAGACUCCUACGGGAGGCAGCAGUGGGGAAUAUUGCACAAUGGGCGCAAGCCUGAUGCAGCCAUGCCGCGUGUGUGAAGAAGGCCUUCGGGUUGUAAAGCACUUUCAGCGGGGAGGAAGGCGAUGAGGUUAAUAACCUCAUCGAUUGACGUUACCCGCAGAAGAAGCACCGGCUAACUCCGUGCCAGCAGCCGCGGUAAUACGGAGGGUGCAAGCGUUAAUCGGAAUUACUGGGGCGUAAAGCGCACGCAGGCGGUCUGUCAAGUCGGAUGUGAAAUCCCCGGGCUCAACCUGGGAACUGCAUUCGAAACUGGCAGGCUAGAGUCUUGUAGAGGGGGGUAGAAUUCCAGGUGUAGCGGUGAAAUGCGUAGAGAUCUGGAGGAAUACCGGUGGCGAAGGCGGCCCCCUGGACAAAGACUGACGCUCAGGUGCGAAAGCGUGGGGAGCAAACAGGAUUAGAUACCCUGGUAGUCCACGCCGUAAACGAUGUCGAUUUGGAGGUUGUGCCCUUGAGGCGUGGCUUCCGGAGCUAACGCGUUAAAUCGACCGCCUGGGGAGUACGGCCGCAAGGUUAAAACUCAAAUGAAUUGACGGGGGCCCGCACAAGCGGUGGAGCAUGUGGUUUAAUUCGAUGCAACGCGAAGAACCUUACCUGGUCUUGACAUCCACAGAACUUUCCAGAGAUGGAUUGGUGCCUUCGGGAACUGUGAGACAGGUGCUGCAUGGCUGUCGUCAGCUCGUGUUGUGAAAUGUUGGGUUAAGUCCCGCAACGAGCGCAACCCUUAUCCUUUGUUGCCAGCGGUUAGGCCGGGAACUCAAAGGAGACUGCCAGUGAUAAACUGGAGGAAGGUGGGGAUGACGUCAAGUCAUCAUGGCCCUUACGACCAGGGCUACACACGUGCUACAAUGGCAUAUACAAAGAGAAGCGACCUCGCGAGAGCAAGCGGACCUCAUAAAGUAUGUCGUAGUCCGGAUUGGAGUCUGCAACUCGACUCCAUGAAGUCGGAAUCGCUAGUAAUCGUAGAUCAGAAUGCUACGGUGAAUACGUUCCCGGGCCUUGUACACACCGCCCGUCACACCAUGGGAGUGGGUUGCAAAAGAAGUAGGUAGCUUAACCUUCGGGAGGGCGCUUACCACUUUGUGAUUCAUGACUGGGGUGAAGUCGUAACAAGGUAACCGUAGGGGAACCUGCGGUUGGAUCACCU